ACUGGGGCAGAUCAUUACCAAUCAGAGGGAAGUGCGGGGGCAGAGAAUGUGAGUGGGAGCAGCGCCCUCACAUCAGAGGAAUUCCUAGCCCUGACCUCACAAAGUCUUUCUGAGGGAAGGAAGCACCCCAGAACGGGAAGCAGCAGGACAGACGAGGGAGGAGUGCUGGAAAUAAACCUCGCUAACCACACUGUGGUUUUUCCAGACAAGCAGAAAAGCUGCUUAAGUCAAGGACCUGGUCCCACGAAUAAGGCAUAUCCUGCUCAGCCCCGACACUGGGGGGGAUGGUUUCGACCCUCUGUUGCACAGCCCAGAUGCCCAGGACAAGUCCCCUGAGCCCACUGGGCUGCCGUAGCCCCAGCAGGGAAGGGGGAAGUCAGUUUCUUCCUCAUCUUAUAAGUCUCUCCUGGGAAUAGAGUCAGGUGAUAAGAGCCACAGGAAGUGAAAGUUCAAUCAAAACCGAGGGACCCUUGUUACUCUGUUCCUGUUUUCUGAGCUGACCUGGUCUCAAGUGUAGUGAACUCCCAGGAAAGCUGGGUCACGGAGAUGGGAAACCAAAACUGCUUUGGAGUCCACGUGUCUCAGACUUCACAUUCGUGUCAUUCCCUUGAUGGUUAAGCCUGGGUUAUCUUAACUACCUGUUUGUGUAUUUGUUUAAAAAAGGACAUCGUUCAGCUCCUAAAUAAGAUUAGUAAUAAAAUCCGAUCUAUUUUACAUUUUUUAUAUUAAUGGCAGAUAUAUUCUAAUGUGAAAAGUCAUUAUAAGCAAUUAUUGUUAGACUAGAAGGACAUCUCUUGAGA